rnacentral:rRNA from 1 species
AUUGAACGCUGGCGGCAGGCCUAACACAUGCAAGUCGAGCGCGAAAGGUCUUCGGACUGAGUAAAGCGGCGAACGGGUGAGUAACGCGUGGGAAUCUGCCCAGUAGUGGGGGACAACAGCCGGAAACGGCUGCUAAUACCGCAUACGCCCUACGGGGGAAAGGGGGGGAUCUUCGGACCUCUCGCUAUUGGAUGAGCCCGCGUCGGAUUAGCUAGUUGGUGGGGUAAAGGCCUACCAAGGCGACGAUCCGUAACUGGUCUGAGAGGAUGAUCAGUCACACUGGAACUGAGACACGGUCCAGACUCCUACGGAGCAGCAGUGGGGAAUAUUGGACAAUGGGGCAACCCUGAUCCAGCCAUGCCGCGUGUGUGAAGAAGGCCUUCGGGUUGUAAAGCACUUUCAGUGGGGAGAAAAGUGAUUCACCUAAUACGUGAGUUAAUUGAUGUUACCCACAGAAGAAGCACCGCUAACUCCGUGCCAGCAGCCGCGGUAAUACGGAGGGUGCAAGCG